rnacentral:lncRNA from 1 species
GCGACGGCGACCGCACCAGCAGCCGCGCUCAGUCGUGGCGGCCUUGCCACGGCACCCUCUCCGACCCAGAGAUCCAUGAAAAAGACGAUGGGAAAAUUACCAACGACUUAAAGCCGAUCUCAGGUCGAGAGGUCUUAACAGCCACCGAGCCUCGAGGUUCUUUGGAGUCCUGCAACGAAAACAAAGAAGCAUCGAAGUCUCCCGACCAGUCUUACAAGACUCGAGAUGAACAAGCGAUAUCACCUGAACUGUCUCUGAAAUCUGGAUAUGAAGCGACGACCAAUCUAUCCGACCAAACCCAAUUUUCUGUGAUAAAGAAAGAUGCCAAUCAAGAGGUCCAAACUAGUAGAGAUGCAACAACACAUAGCGAUGCAGGAUGUAAAACUGGGAGCGCCAGAAGAAAGUUAAACGACCAAAGUGCGAGAAGGGGUCCGCCAUUAGCUAGGUUGAAGAAAAGAGACAGCGUCGUGAGGUUCAGCGACUUGACAGAGGAGCUUGAAUGAGCCACCCGGUCAUCAUGAUACUACGUGUAUCUCUAUUUACCAGCUUAUAUGCAACAUUUUAAAUCAGUGACACUCGUAUAAAAAUAAUUCACAACAAUGUUUACAAUAUCUUCAAUAUUUACGAUUCUUUAGUUGAAUUUUAUACGAUUACAUUUAUCAUAAAUAAGUAUUGUUUACCCUAGCAAAUAUAAAGCUUAAACUGAAUUUUAAGGCACUAUUCUUUAAAUACGCUCUAAGCAU